AAAGAAGAGGGAAAAGAAAGAGGAAAAAUAACAGAUUGAACGUUUAUUCCGAUAAUAGUACAAGUUUCCUUCUCUUUUAUUUCUUUC
rnacentral:ribozyme from 1 species